GGGUUGUGAGGUUAAGCGACUAAGCGUACACGGUGGAUGCCUUGGCAGUCAGAGGCGAUGAAGGACGUGCUAAUCUGCGAUAAGCGUCGGUAAGGUGAUAUGAACCGUUAUAACCGGCGAUUUCCGAAUGGGGAAACCCAGUGUGUUUCGUCACACUAUCAUUAACUGAAUCCAUAGGUUAAUGAGGCGAACCGGGGGAACUGAAACAUCUAAGUAUCCCGAGGAAAAGAAAUCAACCGAGAUUCCCUCAGUAGCGGCGAGCGAACGGGGAGCAGCCCAGAGCCUGAAUCAGUGUGUGUGUUAGUGGAAGCGUCUGGAAAGGCGCGCGAUACAGGGUGACAGCCCCGUACACAAAAAUGCACAUA
rnacentral:rRNA from 1 species